rnacentral:rRNA from 1 species
UGGGGAAUAUUGGACAAUGGGCGAAAGCCUGAUCCAGCCAUGCCGCGUGAGUGAUGAAGGCCCUAGGGUUGUAAAGCUCUUUUAACGGGGAAGAUAAUGACGGUACCCGUAGAAUAAGCCCCGGCUAACUUCGUGCCAGCAGCCGCGGUAAUACGAAGGGGGCUAGCGUUGCUCGGAAUCACUGGGCGUAAAGCGCACGUAGGCGGACUCUUAAGUCGGUGGUGAAAUCCUGGAGCUCAACUCCAGAACUGCCUUCGAUACUGGGAGUCUCGAGUUCGGGAGAGGUGAGUGGAACUGCGAGUGUUGAGGUGAAAUUCGUAGAUAUUCGCAAGAACACCAGUGGCGAAGGCGGCUCACUGGCCCGAUACUGACGCUGAGGUGCGAAAGCGCGGGGAGCAAACA